rnacentral:rRNA from 1 species
ACGGCGAGUGAAGCGGCAACAGCUCAAAUUUGAAAUCUGGCCUUACGGUCCGAGUUGUAAUUUGUAGAGGAUGUUUUGGGUACCGCCACGGUUUAAAUUUCUUGGAACAGAAUGUCAAAGAGGGUGAGAGUCCCGUCUUGGAUCGUGGUAGGGCCUGUGUAAAACUCCUUCGACGAGUCGACUUGUUUGGGAAUGCAGGUCAAAAUGGGUGGUAAAUUUCAUCUAAAGCUAAAUAUUGGCCAGAGACCGAUAGCGCACAAGUAGAGUGAUCGAAAGAUGAAAAGCACUUUGAAAAGAGAGUUAAACAGUAUGUGAAAUUGUUGAAAGGGAAGCGCUGGCAACCAGACUCGUGCGCGGGGUUCCCCCUUGCUUCUGCUUGGGUCACUUCCCCGUGUCCGGGCCAUCAUCAGUUUUGGGGGCCGGUUAAAGGCUCUGGGAAUGUAUCUACCCCUCCGGGGGUGGACUUAUAGCCCAGGGCGUCAUGCGGCCACCCAGGACUGAGGAACGCGCUUCGGCGAGGAUGAUGGCGUAAUGGUUGUCAGCGACCCGUCUUGAAACACGGACCAAGGAGUCUAACAUCUAUGCGAGUGUUCGGGUGUCAAACCCUUGCGCGGAAUGAAAGUGAACGGAGGUAGGAAGGCUUAAGCCUGCACUAUCGACCGAUCCUGAUGUCUUCGGAUGGAUUUGAGUAAGAGCAUAGCUGUUGGGACCCGAAAGAUGGUGAACUAUGCGUGAAUAGGGUGAAGCCAGAGGAAACUCUGGUGGAGGCUCGCAGCGGUUCUGACGUGCAAAUCGAUCGUCAAAUUUGCGUAUAGGGGCGAAAGAC